UACGUAGGUGGCAAGCGUUUGUCCGGAAUUAUUGGGCGUAAAGCGCGCGCAGGCGGUCCUUUAAGUCUGAUGUGAAAGCCCACGGCUCAACCGUGGAGGGUCAUUGGAAACUGGGGGACUUGAGUGCAGAAGAGGAAAGUGGAAUUCCACGUGUAGCGGUGAAAUGCGUAGAGAUGUGGAGGAACACCAGUGGCGAAGGCGACUUUCUGGUCUGUAACUGACGCUGAGACGCGAAAGCGUGGGGAGCAAACAGG
rnacentral:rRNA from 1 species